CCGGCAUAAGUGCCUCCUUCAGGCCAGACCGCGCAGCCACUGCCAUGCAGAGAGGAGCAGCAGAAACAGCAGGAGGACGUGGAGGAGGAGUGACCGUCAUUCACCUGCUGCAGGUGGAGAAAUGGGGACGCAGAGAGCAGGGGACGAGCUGUGGAGAGUCCAGCCACCUCUGUUCAGUCUGACUCACUGGCCUCGCUGAUUGUCAGUCAGAUCCGUUACUCGGUAGAUGAGAUUCAAGCCUGGUGGCUACAGUGACAGUCAUGCUACAAUAUGUAAGUGCAUCAAACCAACACGCUGUGCACCUUAAACUUCCUCAGUGUCAUAUGUCAAUUACAUCUCAAGUUUUUAAAUUGAAUUUAUUGAUUGAUUAAUUCUUUUUGAUAAGAUGACAUUUGGUGGAAGUGGGGAAUGGCGCUGCCAGUGAGUGUGGCCUUGGCGCACCAGACUAGAGGCAGCACUGAUGGCUUAUGUCACCUCAUUUCAUCCUUAGAACAACUUCAUGAGGUGGGUUCUGCUGUUGUCCCCAUUUUACAGAUGAAGAAACUGAGGUAAAAUAAAACAGCUUAAUAACUUUCCCGGGAAGACAUCGGCACAGCCCCUCUCGGAGAACACGCUCCACUACACGCCUGGCGGCCGCGGCAACACAACCCUCUUGUUCCUGCAGUGCCCUCACGACCCGGGCCCGAGCGGCAAGCAAAGGACCUGCGGGAGCCGGUCUAUGGGCUCCAAAGCUGUGCAGUGGCCUGAAAAGAACGGAAAUAAAAGGAAGCAGCAGAGGCGAGAACGCCGGGGACCUGGCAGCGCACGAGCCAGCGGCGACACGGAGCCCGGCAAGCCCUCAGAGAAAGUCGCUCCAGCGUCCACGGCUGCCUUUCUCACCAGGACCGCUUUCCUCCCAAAGCACGAGUGGUCUCCUCAGCAAUCUCCGGUCCCAUCUUGCCCGGGAACUGUCUGAGGACCAGACUGGAAGCUGGGGGGUCAGGUUUGGGAGAAUUUGCAACGUCACACCAACCCUCCAACUGCCUCUUGCAGCCUGAGCUUUUUUUCUGGGAGCAAUGGAGUGGACAGUGAGGUAAGAAGGAGACUGGGAGGAACUGCUGCGGAGAUGUGCCCGUGGUAUGCAUGGUGGAGGAUUCACCUUCUCACAACUCGAGCCUGUCCACCUGGGACCCUGUGUGCCCAUCUCUCCAGGGGUCUGCUGGGGUGUCUCAGUAAACUCGCCGGGCCGACCCGCGGGCAUCACCAGCUCUAGAGAUUUGAUUCAUCUGCACACCCCACAGACUAAGCUUAGGAUGCGUCAUUACGCUGACGUCUGCAAACGCAUCUCAGGGUCAUUUCAGACAGCGGGAUUGUGCGCUGAUGAGGUCCAAGCAAGAGGCUCCAGGACCAUGCUUCCCCGAGUCUCUGGAGCCCCGGUCAGCACAGGUAUUUGGGUUGCCUUCCCCCAGAAUCACAGAAGGCCGUCCUGCACCUGCGUCAAGUGCAGCUGACCGGGCUCUUUAAUUGGGGAUUGCUCGUGGCUGGGCUGUUGUUGCUCCUCUGGAAUUUCCAGCAGGUGCAAAGUGGGGAACAAGCCAUCAAGUCUGAAUUAAAUGAGGAAAGCCCCAGAGAUGAGGCCAACUUUGCUCAAGUUUUCAAAGAAACUCUGCUGGGAACACCUGCGGUCUGAAGCACUCGUUUCAUCCUGCCCAGCCCAAGUCCAGUACAAAUCCUGGGGACCCAGGCGCCACUUGGGAGGUGACAGAGAUUCUGAAAUACUGAUUCUGGGGAAGGUCAUAGCCAAAAAUACCUUCCCGUCAUCUCUAGUGGUGAUUCCUCUGAAAAUUCCAGGGAGCCGGGUGACCAUCCGGCUUCCAAGAUGAAGAAAUCACAACUUUCCCAAAGACCCCAGGGCGGAGAGGAAAACGUGCAAGGAUGCGGUCAGUGAACCCAUUCGCUGUAUCUUUAUGAUGCCAGCCGGCCCUCCGUUCACCCCAGUGGCCCUGGUUUGGGGAAUCGCCCAGUUCCGCUACUUCCUAAAGAUCAGGUUUGGGGAACGUCGACCCCCUGACACACACCAUCUCUCUGGCUUUGGUUUCUAGGCCUAUAAAAUCAGCGUUGGGCAGGUUGAAAUUCUUUCAGCCAUAGCAAAACUGACUCCAUAAAACACACCGUUUGUUUUGUUGCCAUGGAGACAGAGAGGCCCGUUAACCCUACCUGCUCCCCGACAGGACUUCCCCGAGGCUGGUCCAUCGGUCUGCGUGCGGGGUUCAGGAGGCUGCAGCCGGGGGGCGUGGGGUGGCUUCACCUCGGACGCUCACCCUCCUCUAAGCAGACGCUCUUCUAGAUGGAGAGACGUGGGUUCAGUGAACUUGGGGGUGAGAUGAGCGGCUGUGCUCUAAACACGGCAUGAAUUGAGGGCUCUAGGGGAAAGUUUGCCAAUAAGAGUUGCUUUUCAAUCAGUAUUCUUAAAAAGGGGAACAUGAACAUGUUUGGGGCUAUUCAGGCAUCGACAGUUUUAAGGAAAUUAAUUUUCAGAUGCUCAACUUAAAUUUGUGCUUUUUUUUUCUGCCUAAGAACAUAUCCCAGCCUUUCUUCUCCCCCUUUUAUUAAAGAACCAGCAUACCCCUCACCCACCCUGUCGCUCACCAGGGGGAAACCGCCCAGGGCCCCGCACAGAGGUGGUUCUAGAACCCACCUCUCCUUCCGGGGCGCCCCCGACCAGGUCAGAGCGACAUGUCCUCAGGAAAUGCCGGAGGUGGAGACGCCUCACUGACCAGGCGACAAGGUCGGACGAAGGCUACUUAUGCCGACAUGAGAGUCAGGGUUCUGACCUGAGACACUGUCACGAGAGGCCCGGAAGCCUGAUCCAGGGCUCACAGUGAAGGCAGGCUUUUUCUGGCAGGAGCAGUCUGACCUGGCUAAUCGGUCUGAGGUGGCUCUGCCCCUGGGCGGGGUGCCCGAUGACGUCCACCAAGGGCUAAAGCUGCAGAUGAGAAAUUUUGACCAACACCUAUGACAGCACAAGCUUAAACAACAGCCUCCAUUUUAAAACGUUGUAUUCAUAACUGUAAACAUGGGCUUUUUCAAACAUUUAUUUACUUAAAUGAAGAAAAGUUCAUUACACGUACAGAAUUAUGCUGCAGAGAGAGGCUCCAGGGAGUGUUGAAUGGACAACAAUGCCCAGCAUGGAGGAGACAAAGUGAAGAAGGGCGGGAAGUCGCACAGGGACUCUCAGGUGGCCACAGCUCCCGCCUCCAGUACCCACCCCCCCGCCCCUGCCCUCACCUCGGCCAGCAGCCCAGGCCAGUCCCGGCUGUGUCCGUGGUGGUCGGACCCUGGGGCUCUCCAUCCGUCUGGAGUCCUUGGUUAAGCCUGUGGCAGGGGCUGAGCCUUCCGGACGGUCACACGUGUCCACACGGGAGGUGCUGGAAGCUGCUGGUGCCCCGCGCCAGUGGGCCACCCCGACACGCUUUCAGGUGAAACCUCCCGACAAGCCAUAACCUCCUUCUUCUCAGGCCCGAGGAGAAGCAGCAGGAAUCCGAAGAGGAGGCUGAAAACUCUAGAACAAUUGGGGAAAAAAAUGAAUCAAUCUCCUUAUUGGCUUUGCUUUUAUUUUCAUUCAAUUUUUAUUUUAGUAAUUAAUUUUGCUUCCACGCAGAUAGCACCUAGCUUAAACACCUCCACCCCAGUCACCCUAACCUCACAGCCCAGAUCUCCCGCUGUGUAAUGACCAAGUCCCAGAGACCCUGAAAUGGACCUUAUCAGAGAGAAGCAGACUCUAUGGGGCAUUAAAAUCUAAGGGGAGUGACAUGCUGCUGCCUCGGCUGCUGGGGGCCCUCGCAUGUGCGAGUCUUCUGUCCUGAAGGCUCCCCUCCGCCCACAGCUCCCAGGGCCCAUCCUGUCUUACCUCGGGGCACACAGGGCGGGCCAGACCCCCAUUACUCUCUCUCAGCACACUCGCUUCUUCCGAGCACCCAUCAGAACUGAAGCUGAAUAAUUAAUUGGGUGUUUAUUCUUAGGAUCUGCCGCCCUCUUUGGAAUGUAAAUCUCAGGAAGACAGACUCUCAGCCGAGCAGGCGGAACACCGUCUCCCCCGCCCGCGACGCCAUCCUGCACGUGGCAGAGGCUCGUUGGACACCUUCACUCAGAGUCAAGGAAUUCAUUCCCAGCUCACAGAAACCGCAAGCCACGGAAAGCUGAGGCUACUGCUUGCUGAGAGAAACAACAUCAAGAUGGAUGAGAUCAGCCUGAUGGCUCUGGGCGAGCCUGCCAAGGGGACUGUGAAAUUCCAUGAAACGCCCCACCUUCCUCCACUCACCCAGACAGCCAGACCCCUCUAGUGUCCAUCUCUCCUUCCCCUGGACAGCUGUUCGAAGGGGAGCUGGAAUCACCACACACACAAAUGACCUGGCACUGCCUAACUGGUCUUGCCCACCUACCUGUGACGACAGGGGAGGCCUCAACACCUGUUUCUGGCACACCUCUCCACAAACAGCUCUAAAUCGCCGCGGAGGUGACAGGUGUUGUUGAAUGAGCCCUAAUAGGGUAGCACUUCAAGAACUGAAAACUAGUCAUCUGGCAGCUGAACUCGCCCUAGGGCGCGUCACACGUUAAUCACUCAUUACUGCUCCAAAGCCCAGGCUGUUUCAAUCAGCCACGACAUCAAGAAAAUUUGUUCUUCAAGGGAAGAAAUCACAUAAAACGUGCAGAUAGAUGAGAACUCUCUGGAAACAGAGACCUGGAGCUAUCCUGUCUAUCUGUCCCCUCUUUAGGCUGAGAAGAAAUAGAGCUCAUGGCAACUCAACCAACAACGAAAAGAAGGGAAGUCUGACCAUUCCCUAGGAGCCAGAGGGGCCAAGGCAUGGAAAUGCAACCCCGCAUUUUAUAGCUGAGAACACUUAGUCACAAGAGUGAAGCCUCGCCUGAAGUCACACGUUAGCUGGAGAGUCAGAGCUCGAACACUUAUCUCCUGUCAUUCUGUCUUCUGGGCAGCCGGGUUGAGCUGUGAUGUUUACAGAGAUUCCAGUUGCAUUGUUAAUGAAUUAAUUGCAGCAGUCCUAUGUCUUAGUCUGCUGGGCUGCAGGAACGAAAUGUCAUAGGCGGGGUGGAGUGGGGACUUAAAUAGCAGACACUUAUCGCUCACAAUUCUGGAGGCUGGAAGUCCUGGAUCAAGGAGCAGACGGAUUCAGUUCCUGGGGAGAACUCUCUCCUUGGUUCUUGUAAGGGCACUAAUCCCAGCAUGAGGGCCCCACCCCGUGACCUAAUUACCUCCCUAAGACCCCACCUCUAAAUUGGAAGAUAGGGCCUCAACACACAUUUAGUCCACAACAUCCUGCCUUAAGUCCAUGACUCAGAAUGUACCUCUUUGGCAUCUUGAGGGGAAAAAAAGCAAAUUCAUGUUUUUGAAAGCAAAGAAUUAUCUUUUGGGGAGCCAUACUGUUCUAUUUCCAAUAAGUUAAAUACAUUUAUAAGUGGUCAUAGUCAUAAAAUGCUGUAACUGAGAUGUUCUCUCUGUGUUGUCCCAAUGUGAGUCAUUUCUCCUCGGGUCACUGGGAAUACCCACUGUGGGUAGGCAUCUGGAAUGCGUGGUCAUUAUUCUAUGAUCUCAGUGUCCACAAAGUUUUUCUCCUAAGGUAUCAUUCAGCAUCUCCAAGGACAUUCCAAGGAAGACUGACCGAACUCCCCUUGUAGCCUCCCACUUUCUCCAUCAUCUCCCAGUGUUAGAGGUCAUUCCUGACUCUACACAUGAUUAGAGUGAAUUUCCCCAACUGUCCUUCAGACGUGGACCCUGAAGGAGAUGAACUGCUGUGCAAGCAUGUAGGAAACUGAGAUCCACAACCAACCAGUCCCCAGUCAGCCACAUCCACCUAGACCCUGGGCCUUCAGACUGUAUAUCUCUGCCCACUGCCCCUAGCCCUACCAGAAGUGCACUUUCUUAUGUUUAAAUUAUUAUUUAAAAUCCUUGAGGAUGUGAUCUGGCUAACUCCCUCCCUCCUUCCUUCCUUCUUUCCUUCCUUCCUUCCUUCAUUCCUUCCUUCCUUCUCUCUUUCCUUGCCUCCAUCCCUUUCUUAUCCCCAUUCUCUUAUCCUUCCUUUCAUCUUGAUCCAUUUUUGCUGAUUCUCAUCUUAUCUGGCUGAUGGACAGCAACCCUUGACAAAUGCUUGUUGAAAUCAUUGCCACAAUCAAGAUAAUGAACAUAUCCAUCACUUCCAAAAGCUUCCUCAUGCUCCUUUAGAAACUCCAUCCUCACUCCCCUCUCCAGGCAACCACUGAACUACUUUCUGACCCAAAGAUAAGUUUGCAUUUUCUAGAGUU